rnacentral:tRNA from 1 species
GGCUUGUAGCUCAGUGGUAGUGUGCUUGCCUUACAUGCAUGAGGAACUGGGUUUGAUUCUCAGCACCA